GAUGAAGAACGUAGCGAAAUGCGAUAAGUAAUGUGAAUUGCAGAAUUCAGUGAAUCAUCGAAUCUUUGAACGCACCUUGCGCUCUUUGGUAUUCCGAAGAGCAUGCCUGUUUGAGUGUCAUGAAAAUAUCAACCUUGACUUGGGUUUUGUGCUCUAGUCUCGGCUUGGAAUUGGGUGCUUGCCGCUUUUACGAGCGGCUCACCUUAAAUGUAUUAGCUGGAUCUGUCUUUGAGACUUGGUUUGACUUGGCGUAAUAAGUAUUUCGCUAAGGACAUACUUCGGAGUGGCCUCGUUUCUAGGACGCUUGUCCGCUUUCCAAUACAAGUUCCACCUCGUGGACAUGACUUUUUAUUAUCUGGCCUCAAAUCAGGUAGGACUACCCGCUGAACUUAAGCAUAUCAAUAAGCGGAGGA
rnacentral:misc_RNA from 1 species